UUAAAUUGGCUCAAGAAAAUCACGAUUGGCUCAAACUUACAAAAAGUAUGACUUUUGGAAUCUCCAGUCUAAAUUAAGCAUUUGCUAUUUUAAGAAUGGAAAAGUACACAUUUGGUUUUCCAUUUUUAAUUUCCGCUUUACCGCUUCUUCUCAAAACACAGCGACACAGUCUACUUCUUGUGGAUCAUUGACUGGUUUAUUUUUUACUUCCCUUCUGAAUUAAAUAUCGAUAUGAACAGUAACACAGUCUAAUACACUGGCCCUCACCGUUUGUUUACAUCAGCUGAUAAAUAUGACACUAAUUGUCGUGAACAUACCUGGCAGAUUGUUGAAUAUGCAUUGGAAAAUUGGGUCUUAAUAUUUAAUAUGAAACAAUAAGUAGCGGCAUCCCAAGAUUACUCAAGAUUAUCGCUAAUCAAAUCAGAAGUUGGGUAUGAAAUAGCGACAAAUUAUGUUCUGCAGUUGACAACUUGACCUGUUGACGAUACAGAUAGUCUUCAAGCCAAAUCUUUGUCAUUAACAAAGCAAGCUGAAGCAGCACAUUGGAAUGUGUUUCUGCUGUUACUGUCAUGCCACUGACUUAACCAGAACCAGGCAAAUGUUAUAGACAGUUUACACUGAGCUGGAAGCUUUUAUGAUUAUUGACUGUAAAUUAUAUAAGUUUGAUGUGUUAAUGUGAUAAAAAAUGUAGGUACCAAAAUAAAAGUGGACAACA